rnacentral:rRNA from 1 species
GAGGGCAAGUCUGGUGCCAGCAGCCGCGGUAAUUCCAGCUCUCAAAGUGCAUAGAAUUAUUGCUGCGGUUAAAAAGCUCGUAGUUGGAUCUGUGCCAUAGGACGUGGUCCACCUUCGGGUGCGUACUACGCUCCUAGGCUUUUUGCUGGUUUUCCCGUCGUAGCCUUCACUGGUUGCGGCGGGUGGCUGGCGAGUUUACUUUGAGAAAAUCAGAGUGCUCAAUACAGGCGUAUCGCUUGAAUGAUUGUGCAUGGAAUAAUAGAAAAGGAUUUCGGUCCUCUUUUAUUGGUUUUGUGGACUGAGAUAAUGGUUAACAGGGACAAACGGGGGCAUUCGUAUCUCUGCGUGAGAGGUGAAAUUCUUGGACCGUAGAGAGACGCCCUACUGCGAAAGCAUUUGCCAAGAAUGUCUUCAUUAAUCAAGAACGAAAGUCAGAGGUUCGAAGGCGAUCAGAUACCGCCCUAGUUCUGACCGUAAA